rnacentral:rRNA from 1 species
GGGUAACGGGGUGUUAGGGCACGACACCGGAGAGGGAGCCUGAGAAACGGCUACCACAUCCAAGGAAGGCAGCAGGCGCGCAAAUUACCCAAUCCCGACAUGGGGAGGUAGUGACAAUAAAUAACAAUACAGGGUUCUUUUGGAUCUUGUAAUUGGAAUGAGUACAAUUUAAAUCUCUUAACGAGGAACAAUUGGAGGGCAAGUCUGGUGCCAGCAGCCGCGGUAAUUCCAGCUCCAAUAGCGUAUAUUAAAGUUGUUGCAGUUAAAAAGCUCGUAGUUGAAUUUCGGGAUCAAGGGAUCGGUCAUGCCUUGGUAUGUACUGGUCUUAUUGGUUCUCACCUUCUAAGGAACCAUGAUGUCAUUCAUUUGAUGUUAUGGGGAAUUAGGACUGUUACCUUGAAAAAAUUAGAGUGUUUAAAGCAAGCUUACGCUUGAAUGCAUUAGCAUGGAAUAAUGAAAUAGGACAUCAGAUUCUAUUUUGUUGGUUUCUAGGAUCGAUGUAAUGAUUAAUAGGGAUAGUUGGGGGCAUUAGUAUUCAAUUGUCAGAGGUGAAAUUCUUGGAUUUAUUGAAGACUAACUACUGCGAAAGCAUUUGCCAAGGAUGUUUUCAUUAAUCAAGAACGAAAGUUAGGGGAUCGAAGACGAUCAGAUACC